AACGAACGCUGGCGGCAGGCUUAACACAUGCAAGUCGAACGCCCUAGCAAUAGGGAGUGGCGCACGGGUGAGUAACGCGUGGGAAUGUACCUUUUAGUGGGGGAUAACUCCGGGAAACUGGAGCUAAUACCGCAUACGCCCUUCGGGGGAAAGAUUUAUCGCUAAAAGAUCAGCCCGCGUGAGAUUAGGUAGUUGGUGGGGUAAUGGCCUACCAAGCCUACGAUCUCUAGCUGGUCUGAGAGGAUGAUCAGCCACACUGGAACUGAGACACGGUCCAGACUCCUACGGGAGGCAGCAGUGGGGAAUAUUGGACAAUGGGGGAAACCCUGAUCCAGCCAUGCCGCGUGAGUGAUGAAGGCUUUAGGGUUGUAAAGCUCUUUCGCCGAUGAAGAUAAUGACGGUAGUCGGAGAAGAAGCCCCGGCUAACUUCGUGCCAGCCGCCGCAGUAA
rnacentral:rRNA from 1 species